rnacentral:rRNA from 1 species
AACGAACGCUGGCGGCAGGCCUAACACAUGCAAGUCGAGCGGACACUUCGGGAUUAGCGGCGGACGGGGGAGUAACGCGUGGGAAUAUGCCCUUCUCUACGGAAUAGUCCUGGGAAACUGGUGGUAAUACCGUAUACGCCCUUUUGGGGGAAGAUUUAUCGAGGAAGGAUUAGCACGAGUUGGAUUAGGUAGUUGGUGGGGUAAUAGCCUACCAAGCCGCCGAUCCAUAGCUGGUUAGAGAGGAUGAUCAGCCACACUUGGACUCAGACACGGCCCAGAAUCCUACGGGAUGCAGGAGUGCGGAAUCUUGGAAAACCGGGGGAACGAUGAUCGAGCCAGGAUGGGUGAGCGAUGAAGGCCGGAGGGAUGUAAAGCGCUUUCAGCUGUGAAGAUAAUGACGGUACCAGCAGAAGAAGCCCCGGCUAACUACGUG